CCUACGGGCGGCAGCAGUGAGGAAUAUUGGUCAAUGGACGCAAGUCUGAACCAGCCAUGCCGCGUGCAGGAAGACGGCUCUAUGAGUUGUAAACUGCUUUUGUACGAGGGUAAACGCAGAUACGCGUAUCUGUCUGUAAGUAUUGUACGAAUAAGGAUCGGCUAACUCCGUGCCAGCAGCCGCGGUAAUACGGAGGAUUCAAGCGUUAUCCGGAUUUAUUGGGUUUAAAGGGAGCGUAGGCGGUCGGAUAAGUUAGAUGUGAAAUCCUGAGGCUCAACUUUGGAAUUGCCUCUGAUACUGGUCGGCUAGAGAGUAGUUGCGGUAGGCGGAAUGUAUGGUGUAGCGGUGAAAUGCUUAGAGAUCAUACAGAACACCGAUUGCGAAGGCAGCUUACUAAGCUACCUCUGACGUUGAUGCACGAAAGCGUGGGGAGCAAACAGGAUUAGAUACCCCAGUAGUC
rnacentral:rRNA from 1 species